rnacentral:rRNA from 1 species
UACGCAGGGGGCUAGCGUUGUUCGGAAUUACUGGGCGUAAAGCGUGCGCAGGCGGCCAUCCAAGUCAGUGGUGAAAGCCCGGAGCUCAACUCCGGAAUUGCCAUUGAAACUGUUCGGCUCGAGUACGAGAGAGGUGAGUGGAAUUCCCAGUGUAGAGGUGAAAUUCGUAGAUAUUGGGAAGAACACCGGUGGCGAAGGCGGCGCACUGGCUCGUUACUGACGCUCAUGCACGACAGCGUGGGGAUCAAACAGG